ensembl:lncRNA
CCGUUGGAACACGCAAGACCGGUUACCAUAUCAACGCGGUAAACAAACCUUGCGAAGCCCAAUCCAGGUCUUACUGAAGGCAUUUAAUGUUCAAAAUAUUAUUAAUAAAUAUUUGAAUAUAUUCGAAUAUUAAUUAACACUUUGAAUAUGAUUUUUUCGCAAAAGUCAAAGCCCUAGUGUGUGUUUGUGUGUUUCAAUGUGUUGGUGAGGGAGAGAGCACAUCAAUGUGUUGGUGAGGGAGAGAGCACAUCAAUGUGUUGGGGAGAGGGAGAGAGAGCACAUCAAUGUGUUGGGGAGAGGGAGAGAGAGCACAUCAGUGUGUUGGGGAGAGGGAGAGAGAGCACAUCAAUGUGUUGGGGAGGGAGGAGCAUAUCAAUGUGUUUUCCCAUCUCUGCUAUGAGGUACAGUAUGACUGUUUUAACAGUAGAGAUGGUGAAUAUGGGAAACAUCUCUUGGACGGAACCAAGAAACACUUACUGGGUCGGCAGGUACCCUAGAACCUGAGGACGGGUACUUUUAGUACAUGUAGAAGCUGAGGACCGUAGAACAGUUUGUAAAAUAGUUUUCUUCUCCCUGCAGGUGAAGGGUCUGGACCUGCAGGCACCAGCGGAGCUACUGACACCCUCAAUGCGGGCCCCGAGGGCUCCGAGACGGGCUCGGGGGAGGACGCUCUGGCCCGGAUCCGCCGGCUGAUCGCGGAGGGGGGCAUGACGGCGGUGGUCCAGCGCGAGCAGAGCACAACCAUGGCCUCCAUGGGGGGCUUCGGGAACAACAUCAUCGUCAGUCACCGCAUCCACCGGGGGUCCCAGACCGCUGCCGGGGCCAGACCCAGCGCCCACCCCGAGGCCCCGGGCCCCUCCACCGCAGGACAGAGC